GGAUGCGAUCAUACCAGCACUAAAGCACCGGAUCCCAUCAGAACUCCAAAGUUAAGCGUGCUUGGGCGAGAGUAGUACUAGGAUGGGUGACCUCCUGGGAAGUCGUCCUCGUGUUGCAUUCC
rnacentral:rRNA from 1 species